rnacentral:rRNA from 1 species
AUUUAAAGGGAUCAUGGGGGACCUGAUCAGCCAUGCCGCGUGUGUGAAGAAGGCCUUUUGGUUGUAAAGCACUUUAGGCGAGGAGGAGGCUACCGAGAUUAAUACUCUUGGAUAGUGGACGUUACUCGCAGAAUAAGCACCGGCUAACUCUGUGCCAGCAGCCGCGGUAAUAC